rnacentral:rRNA from 1 species
CCCAGACUCCUACGGGAGGCAGCAGUGGGGGAUAUUGCACAAUGGGGGGAACCCUGAUGCAGCGACGCCGCGUGAAGGAAGAAGUAUCUCGGUAUGUAAACUUCUAUCAGCAGGGAAGAAAAUGACGGUACCUGACUAAGAAGCCCCGGCUAACUACGUGCCAGCAGCCGCGGUAAUACGUAGGGGGCGAGCGUUAUCCGGAUUCACUGGGUGUAAAGGGAGCGUAGACGGCCAAGCAAGCCAGGGGUGAAAGCCCGGGGCCCAACCCCGGGACUGCCCUUGGAACUGCUUGGCUGGAGUGCGGGAGGGGCAGGCGGAAUUCCUGGUGUAGCGGUGAAAUGCGUAGAUAUCAGGAGGAACACCGGCGGCGAAGGCGGCCUGCUGGACCGCGACUGACGUUGAGGCUCGGAAGCGUGGGGAGCGAACAGGAUUAGAUACCCGGGUA